GCACUUUAAGCAGUGAAGAAGACUCCGUGGUUAAUACCCACGGACGAUGACAUUAGCUGCAGAAUAAGCACCGGCUAACUCUGUGCCAGCAGCCGCGGUAAUACAGAGGGUGCAAGCGUUAAUCGGAAUUACUGGGCGUAAAGCGAGCGUAGGUGGCUUGAUAAGUCAGAUGUGAAAUCCCCGGGCUUAACCUGGGAACUGCAUCUGAAACUGUAGAGCUAGAGUAUGUGAGAGGAAGGUAGAAUUCCAGGUGUAGCGGUGAAAUGCGUAGAGAUCUGGAGGAAUACCGAUGGCGAAGGCAGCCUUCUGGCAUAAUACUGACACUGAGGCUCGAAAGCGUGGGUAGCAAACAGGAUUAGAUACCCUGGUAGUCCACGCCGUAAACGAUGUCUACUAGUCGUUGG
rnacentral:rRNA from 1 species